UGCUCCCCCAGCCCAGGUCCCAGCUGCUUCCCGGAGUGGCACGGGGGCUUGGCAGGCAGGUAGGGAGCGAGCCUGCCCUGCCCCCGGUGUGCGCUGGGCCGGAGCCGCUCUAGGUAAAUGCUGGUGGAGCAGGGGUGCCAAGGGGAGCUGGCAGGCAGCAGAAAAUAACCCCGUGGGCUGCAUGUGGCCCACAGGCCAC